rnacentral:rRNA from 1 species
AUCCAGAGUACCACGAGACACGAGAAACCUUGUGGGAACGCGCGGGGACCACCCCGUAAGGCUAAAUACUCCUUAGUGACCGAUAGCGCAUAGUACUGUGAAGGAAAGGUGAAAAGGACCCCGGGAGGGGAGUGAAAGAGAACCUGAAACCCUGUGUUUACAAGCUGUGGAACUACAAUCGAAUGUAGAACCGCGUACUUUUUGUAGAACGGUCCGGCGAGUUACGGAUACAGGCGAGGUUAAGUAGUUAAGCUACGGAGCCGAAGUGAAAGCAAGCGUUAAAAGCGCGUAAAGUCAGUAUACGUAGACCCGAAACCGGGUGAUCUACCCAUGACCAGGAUGAAGCCGCUGUAAAAGGUGGUGGAGGUCCGAAGCCACAUCCGUUGAAAAGGGUGGGCAUGAGUUGUGGGUAGGGGAGAAAUUCCAAUCGAACCCGGAGAUAGCUGGUUCUCCUCGAAAUAGCUUUAGGGCUAGCCUCGUAUUAGUCUCAUGGAGGUAGAGCACUGAAUUUCCUAGGGGUCGUCAAAGACUACCGAAGAAUAUCAAACUCCGAAUGCCAUAGAGAUGAUGUACGGGAGUCAGACUGCACGAGAUAAGUUGGGUAGUCAAAAGGGAAAGAGCCCAGACCUACAGCUAAGGUCCCAAAGUACGUGUUAAGUGGAAAAGGAUGUGGGAUUUCAAAGACAACUAGGAUGUUGGCUCAGAAGCAGCCACACAUUCAAAGAGUGCGUAAUAGCUCACUAGUCGAGAGGUCCUGCGCCGAAAAUUUCCGGGGCUAAAACACGACACCGAAGCUUAGGAAUCGUUUUAAACGAUUGGUAGAGGAGCAUUGUUAAUGCAGCGAAGCUGUACCGAAAGGAGCAGUGGAGUAUUAAGAAGAGAGAAUGCCGGAAUGAGUAGCGAGAGGAAGGUGAGAAUCCUUCCGGCCGAAUAUCCAAGGUUUCCAGAGUAAAGCUGAUCUGCUCUGGGUAAGUCGGGACCUAAGGCGAGGGAGAAAUCCGUAGUCGAUGGACAACAGGUUGAGAUUCCUGUACUGCCAUAUAUCAGAAAUGUGGGGACGCAUGUGGA